rnacentral:rRNA from 1 species
AGAGUUUGAUCAUGGCUCAGGACGAACGCUGGCGGCGUGCUUAACACAUGCAAGUCGAACGGUAAGGCCCUUCGGGGUACACGAGUGGCGAACGGGUGAGUAACACGUGGGUGAUCUGCCUUGCACUUUGGGAUAAGCCUGGGAAACUGGGUCUAAUACCGAAUAUGACUCCGGGAUGCAUGUCUUGGGGUGGAAAGCUUUUGCGGUGUGGGAUGGGCCCGCGGCCUAUCAGCUUGUUGGUGGGGUGAUGGCCUACCAAGGCGACGACGGGUAGCCGGCCUGAGAGGGUGUCCGGCCACACUGGGACUGAGAUACGGCCCAGACUCCUACGGGAGGCAGCAGUGGGGAAUAUUGCACAAUGGGCGCAAGCCUGAUGCAGCGACGCCGCGUGAGGGAUGACGGCCUUCGGGUUGUAAACCUCUUUCAGCAGGGACGAAGCGCAAGUGACGGUACCUGUAGAAGAAGCACCGGCCAACUACGUGCCAGCAGCCGCGGUAAUACGUAGGGUGCGAGCGUUGUCCGGAAUUACUGGGCGUAAAGAGCUCGUAGGUGGUUUGUCGCGUUGUUCGUGAAAACUCACAGCUCAACUGUGGGCGUGCGGGCGAUACGGGCAGACUGGAGUACUGCAGGGGAGACUGGAAUUCCUGGUGUAGCGGUGGAAUGCGCAGAUAUCAGGAGGAACACCGGUGGCGAAGGCGGGUCUCUGGGCAGUAACUGACGCUGAGGAGCGAAAGCGUGGGGAGCGAACAGGAUUAGAUACCCUAGUAGUCC